CAAUCUCCCAAGCUUUGCUUGGUAUUGGGCAUCAUUAUUUCUUUUAAUUAAGGGUAAUGUGCCUUAAAUAUAGGCAGCGGCAAGUACUAGUUCCGAGCGUAGCAGUUAUUAACAUUUCGCUUUAGGAGUUUGGUAUAUUGUCAGCUUUAUAGUUAGUCUUACUAUC
rnacentral:misc_RNA from 1 species